CGGCAAAUAAGACCUCCUCCUCAGAAGCACUUGCGAAGAGACUUACUUCGGCUGCCCACGGCCACCCCGAAAAAAAAUCUGCCACCUCCUAUCAUAAAGAGAGCCAAUCUCUCGAAACCAGAACCAAGAACUUCAUAACCCAGCAAGCCAACCAAACUGGAAUAAACUCGAACAAGCCUCCGGGUGCGACGGUGAUGACUGAGGCGUCUAAUUACAUCUAAAUAGAAGUCUUCAAAAAGCUAUCAGAAAAGAUCUGAAGCAGGACAAGGAGAGAAGCCUAGCCUCCGAGAACCUUCAUCGUGAGAGAACACCACAAAGGUAGGAGAAAGCUAACAACCACAACAAACUACACUAAGGAGGAGAGACCGACUGCCAACAAAGAAGACUAUCACAACAAAAACAUAACGAAACCUCUGAAAAGAAAUGGGGCAAUCCAAAUGGGAAUUGAUGGCUGAAGCAAGGAGACAAGAGACGGAGGGAAAGGCAAGGUUCGGGCACCAACUCAACGAGAACCCACCACCAUAAACCAACAACGGCAAAGAUACCACGCUAACCACUUAAACGGAAAAAGAUCAACAGAUCUAACCGCUCUUACCGCAACCUCAACGAAACA